AGUGAACGCUGGCGGUAGGCCUAACACAUGCAAGUCGAACGGCAGCACAGUAAGAGCUUGCUCUUACGGGUGGCGAGUGGCGGACGGGUGAGGAAUACAUCGGAAUCUACUUUUUCGUGGGGGAUAACGUAGGGAAACUUACGCUAAUACCGCAUACGACCUACGGGUGAAAGCAGGGGAUCUUCGGACCUUGCGCAAUUGAAUGAGCCGAUGUCGGAUUAGCUAGUUGGCGGGGUAAAGGCCCACCAAGGCGACGAUCCGUAGCUGGUCUGAGAGGAUGAUCAGCCACACUGGAACUGAGACACGGUCCAGACUCCUACGGGAGGCAGCAGUGGGGAAUAUUGGACAAUGGGCGCAAGCCUGAUCCAGCCAUACCGCGUGGGUGAAGAAGGCCUUCGGGUUGUAAAGCCCUUUUGUUGGGAAAGAAAAGCAGCAGGUUAAUACCCCGCUGUUCUGACGGUACCCAAAGAAUAGGCACCGGCUAACUUCGUG
rnacentral:rRNA from 1 species